CAACCCUCAAGCUCAGCUUGGUGUUGGGACUCGCGGUAACCCGCGUUCCCCAAAUCGAUUGGCGGUCACGUCGAGCUUCCAUAGCGUAGUAAUAAUACACCUCGUUACUGGUAAUCGUCGCGGCCACGCCGUAAAACCCCAACUUCUGAAC
rnacentral:misc_RNA from 1 species